rnacentral:lncRNA from 1 species
AUUUUUUGACACCAACUUUUAUGAAUAUUACAUUUUUUAUAUAAUAAAUUUUAUGAAAUAUUAUACACAAUGUUCUAAAAUUCAAAACUUCUGUAAAUCUAUAUUGUUCUAAUCAAAGAAUUUAAUGAUUUGACUGAUAGUCUCUGGCGUAAAUGAUAAAAAGCUUGAUUGUUAGUAUCUGAAGUUUAGUUGUGGGAGAUUUUUAUUACGUAAAUUUUUUAGAUGCCGGAGAUCAUGUCAUAUCGUAUCUCAUAU